rnacentral:rRNA from 1 species
CCUACGGGAGGCAGCAGUGAGGAAUAUUGGUCAAUGGACGAGAGUCUGAACCAGCCAAGUAGCGUGAAGGAUGACUGUCCUAUGGGUUGUAAACUUCUUUUAUAAAGGAAUAAAACGAGGCACGUGUGCCUGUUUGCAUGUACUUUAUGAAUAAGGAUCGGCUAACUCCGUGCCAGCAGCCGCGGUAAUACGGAGGAUCCGAGCGUUAUCCGGAUUUAUUGGGUUUAAAGGGAGCGUAGAUGGGUUGUUAAGUCAGUUGUGAAAGUUUGCGGCUCAACCGUAAAAUUGCAAUUGAUACUGGCAGUCUUGAGUACAGUUGAGGUAGGCGGAAUUCGUGGUGUAGCGGUGAAAUGCUUAGAUAUCACGAAGAACCCCGAUUGCGAAGGCAGCUUACUAAACUGUGACUGACAUUGAUGCUCGAAAGUGUGGGUAUCAAACAGGAUUAGAUACCCUGGUAGUC